ensembl:lncRNA
CUCGUAUGUGAUCCCCAUAGAUCCCCGGCUGUCGAAACCGCGUAGCUCCCUAACAUAGAGCGACCGCCACGAAGCUUGCCGAGCGGCGUGAUCGCCCGAGCUGUCUCCUUCACGGCGACGUCAGUAACUUGUUUAAUUGGGAUUGUACCGGAGGAUCUUGGCCACCGUUAGCAGUCCAACUAGCUGCUGUUUUGCCUAUACGCCUUCUACCUCGGUUUGCGUACAUGUGUUUUUUUGUACUGCGUUGCCUCAAUUGUUUUGGGCCGGACCGCCUACACCGUUGUGCUCGGACGGCUUUACCCGGAUGAACAAUUUUAGCGUGACGUUCGAUCUUUCCCUUCCCCUUGACUUAUUGGGUCGAUGGAGUUAUCUUGUUUUCUUUAUUGUUUAGUUUGUUCUGUAUUUUUGUUUCUUUAUAACCGGGUGAGUGAACCCGGUUGUAUGUACGCGUGUUUAACGUUUUGUUUCUUUAUUCUUUCUAGAGCUGAACGCCGAAGGUGGUGGUGUGGUGUCCCGGUGGUGGUAUCCCUUUACUCGUUUGCUGUGGUCUUUCGUUUUCAUUUAUUUUGCUGUGCUCACUAUUUUGUUUUUGUGUUCACGGGUGUCUUCUCCUGAAACCUCCCCCGCUGCCCUCGUGUCCCCUCCACAACCACUGAUGGGGUUCUGAGUGUACAUUAAUGCCCAUAGACUACCCAUAGUGACUCUCUCUACCAACAAACUCCUGGAACAAUGAGUGCCUACAGGUAUUUAUACAGAUCAUUAUAAUACUGGUAGAUUAAAUCCAGCGUUCUGAUUGGUUGAGAGUGAGUCACUGGGGUGCAUUAUUGAGCGAUGUACAGUACCUGUUCACAUUGACCCGAGCGUUCCAUAUCCCUGCACACUCAAAGUUUUACUUUUAGUUUUUAGCUCGGUGGCGAUCGCCGAAAAAAAAACAGAAAUCCAAAAAAUGUGGCACAAAUCUGUUUCAAGUGUGAACUUUCACAACCGAACAAUUAAGGUGGAC